rnacentral:sRNA from 1 species
CACAACCGUCAGCCGCCCGGUGCACUGUGGACGAUGAGUCAGGGCUAGGGGCACCAGGACUUGGGCGUGCAGGACGCCAGGACUUGGGCGUGCGGGACGCCAGAGCUGGGUCAGAGCUCGAGCCAGCGGCGCCCGGAGAGACUCGGAGAUGCAGGCGGCUCGGAUGGCCCCGAGCUUGGGGCGGCAGCUGCUGAGGCUCGGGGUCGGAAGGUCUGUGUGUGACAAGUGGGACGGUGGGCAGCGGCCCUGGGCACCGGGCCAGGACUGAACUCCCACUCCCCACAGCUCGCGGCUCACGGCGCUCCUGGGGCAGCCCCGGCCCGGCCCUGCCCGGCGGCCCUAUGCCGGAGGUGCCGCUCAGCUGGCUCUGGACAAGUCAGAUUCCCACCCCUCUGACGCUCUGACCAGGAAAAAACCGGCCAAGGCGGUAGGUAGCCCCGAGGCCAGGUGGACCUUAGCCAGACCCAACCAGAGCCCUGAAAUUCGCCUCUCUCUGCCCAGGAAUCUAAGUCCUUUGCUGUGGGAAUGUUCAAAGGCCAGCUCACCACAGAUCAGGUGUUCCCAUACCCGUCCGUGCUCAACGAAGAGCAGACACAGUUUCUUAAAGAGCUGGUGGAGCCUGUGUCCCGUUUCUUCGAGGUAAGGAAUGACUCGGGGCUUGGUCCCUGGUGAGGUGUUUGGAGAUGUUAAGCUCAAAAGGAGCCUGGAUGUGGGAUCCUGUGCCUUCCCCA